rnacentral:sRNA from 1 species
GUGGACUAGAUAGGUGUAGAAUACAAGUU